rnacentral:rRNA from 1 species
GACGAACGCUGGCGGCGUGCCUAAUACAUGCAAGUCGAGCGGACCGACGGGAGCUUGCUCCCUUAGGUCAGCGGCGGACGGGUGAGUAACACGUGGGUAACCUGCCUGUAAGACUGGGAUAACUCCGGGAAACCGGGGCUAAUACCGGAUGCUUGAUUGAACCGCAUGGUUCCAAUCAUAAAAGGUGGCUUUUAGCUACCACUUACAGAUGGACCCGCGGCGCAUUAGCUAGUUGGUGAGGUAACGGCUCACCAAGGCGACGAUGCGUAGCCGACCUGAGAGGGUGAUCGGCCACACUGGGACUGAGGCACGGCCCAGACUCCUACGGGAGGCAGCAGUAGGGAAUCUUCCGCAAUGGACGAAAGUCUGACGGAGCAACGCCGCGUGAGUGAUGAAGGUUUUCGGAUCGUAAAACUCUGUUGUUAGGGAAGAACAAGUACCGUUCGAAUAGGGCGGCACCUUGACGGUACCUAACCAGAAAGCCACGGCUAACUACGUGCCAGCAGCCGCGGUAAUACGUAGGUGGCAAGCGUUGUCCGGAAUUAUUGGGCGUAAAGCGCGCGCAGGCGGUUUCUUAAGUCUGAUGUGAAAGCCCCCGGCUCAACCGGGGAGGGUCAUUGGAAACUGGGGAACUUGAGUGCAGAAGAGGAGAGUGGAAUUCCAGGUGUAGCGGUGAAAUGCGUAGAGAUGUGGAGGAACACCAGUGGCGAAGGCGACUCUCUGGUCUGUAACUGACGCUGAGGCGCGAAAGCGUGGGGAGCGAACAGGAUUAGAUACCCUGGUAGUCCACGCCGUAAACGAUGAGUGCUAAGUGUUAGAGGGUUUCCGCCCUUUAGUGCUGCAGCAAACGCAUUAAGCACUCCGCCUGGGGAGUACGGUCGCAAGACUGAAACUCAAAGGAAUUGACGGGGGCCCGCACAAGCGGUGGAGCAUGUGGUUUAAUUCGAAGCAACGCGAAGAACCUUACCAGGUCUUGACAUCCCCUGACAACCCUAGAGAUAGGGCUUCCCCUUCGGGGGCAGAGUGACAGGUGGUGCAUGGUUGUCGUCAGCUCGUGUCGUGAGAUGUUGGGUUAAGUCCCGCAACGAGCGCAACCCUUGAUCUUAGUUGCCAGCAUUCAGUUGGGCACUCUAAGGUGACUGCCGGUGACAAACCGGAGGAAGGUGGGGAUGACGUCAAAUCAUCAUGCCCCUUAUGACCUGGGCUACACACGUGCUACAAUGGGCAGAACAAAGGGCAGCGAAGCCGCGAGGCUAAGCCAAUCCCACAAAUCUGUUCUCAGUUCGGAUCGCAGUCUGCAACUCGACUGCGUGAAGCUGGAAUCGCUAGUAAUCGCGGAUCAGCAUGCCGCGGUGAAUACGUUCCCGGGCCUUGUACACACCGCCCGUCACACCACGAGAGUUUGUAACACCCGAAGUCGGUGAGGUAACCAUUUGGAGCCAGCCGCCGAAGGUGGGAUAGAUGAUUGGGGUG